GAUUAACGCUGGCGGCGUGCCUAACACAUGCAAGUCGAACGAGGUAGCAAUACCUAGUGGCAGACGGGUGAGUAACGCGUGGUCAACCUACCCUAGAGUGGGGGAUAACUAGCCGAAAGGUUAGCUAAUACCGCAUGAAACGUGCCGGGGCAUCUCGGAAUGUUGAAAGGAGCAAUCCGCUCAAGGACGGGACCGCGUCCCAUUAGCUAGUUGGUGGGGCAACGGCCUACCAAGGCACCGAUGGGUAGCUGGUUUGAGAGAGCGACCAGCCACACUGGGACUGAGAAACGGCCCAGACUCCUACGGGAGGCAGCAGUGAGGAAUUUUCCGCAAUGGGCGAAAGCCUGACGGAGCGACGCCGCGUGUGGG
rnacentral:rRNA from 1 species